rfam:Ictidomys tridecemlineatus contig042838, whole genome shotgun sequence.
GGGGUUGUGGCUCAGCGGUAGAGCACUUGCCUAGCAUGGGAGAGGCCCUGGGUUCGAUCCUCGGCACCCCA